UCCGCAGGGGGCCGGCUAAGUUUGAUGUGAAAUCCCGGGGCUCAACCCCGGAACUGCAUUGAAAACUGAUUGGCUAGAGUACCGGAGAGGAAAGUGGAAUUCCAGGUGUAGCGGUGGAAUGCGUAGAUAUCUGGAAGAACACCAAAAGCGAAGGCAGCUUUCUGGACGGUUACUGACCCUCAGGGACGAAAGCGUGGGGAGCAAACAGGAUUAGAUACCCUGGUAGUCC
rnacentral:rRNA from 1 species